rnacentral:rRNA from 1 species
UACAGAGGGGGCAAGCGUUGUUCGGAAUUACUGGGCGUAAAGGGCGCGUAGGCGGCCUUUUAAGUCGAACGUGAAUCCCCAGGCUCAACCUGGGAACUGCAUCCGAUACUGGAUGGCUUGAAUCCGGGAGAGGGAUGCAGAAUUCCAGGUGUAGCGGUGAAAUGCGUAGAUAUCUGGAGGAAUACCGGUGGCGAAGGCGGCAUCCUGGACCGGCAUUGACGCUGAGGAGCGAAAGCUGA